rnacentral:rRNA from 1 species
AUUGAACGCUGGCGGCAUGCCUUACACAUGCAAGUCGAACGGUAACAGGUCUUCGGAUGCUGACGAGUGGCGAACGGGUGAGUAAUACAUCGGAACGUGCCUAGUAGUGGGGGAUAACUACUCGAAAGAGUGGCUAAUACCGCAUGAGAUCUACGGAUGAAAGCGGGGGAUCGCAAGACCUUGUGCUACUAGAGCGGCCGAUGGCAGAUUAGGUAGUUGGUGGGAUAAAAGCUUACCAAGCCGACGAUCUGUAGCUGGUCUGAGAGGACGAUCAGCCACACUGGGACUGAGACACGGCCCAGACUCCUACGGGAGGCAGCAGUGGGGAAUUUUGUACAAUGGGCGAAAGCCUGACCCAGCAAUGCCGCGUGCAGGAUGAAGGCCUUCGGGUUGUAAACUGCUUUUGUACGGAACGAAAAGCCCCGGGUUAAUACCCUGGGGUCAUGACGGUACCGUAAGAAUAAGCACCGGCUAACUACGUGCCAGCCGCCGCGGUAA